rnacentral:lncRNA from 1 species
CUUAUAUUUCUAUCUGACAGGACAAAGAAAUAGGAAGGGAUGGUUCUUUCAUUGCAUUGAUAGAAGUCUAACUAGAAAAAGAUCUCUCUAACACUUUGAGAAGAGAAUCGUUAGUUUGACUGACGAACUACGUGGGAAAAUGGACCUUCUUUCUUUGAUUUUCAGCAAGCAUUUUUUGAAAGUAACAAUUCUAUUCAGUUUGGUUUCGGAAAACUUGC